UACAGAGAGUGCGAACGUUGUUCGGAAUUACUGGGCUUAAAGAGCACGUAGGCGGCAUCGUAAGUGUCAGGUGAAAUCCCACGGCUCACCCGUGGAACUGCCCGGCAGACUGCGAUGCUCGAGUGUGGUAGGGGAGAACGGAACUCCUGGUGGAGCGGUGAAAUGCGUAGAUAUCAGGAGGAACACCGGUGGCGAAGGCGGUUCUCUGGUCCACAACUGACGCUGAGGUGCGAAAGCUAGGGGAGCAAAC
rnacentral:rRNA from 1 species